AAUAGUUAAGUGUCAAAAAGUGGAAAAUACAAUGUGGUGAACACGAUAAUCUGACGUCGAUGCGAGGAAGCUGUCAGCCCAGGCUGUCACCAGCGGCGUGGCGGGGCGGGAGGCGUCGCGGGGCUCAGCUCACCCACACACUCACACACACUCGUCAGUAACAGCCCCAACGGGAGGAAAGGAUACGUCGCCCUGCCCAGCCCAGGAGCCCCAGCCCCCCGCCGUGUGAACUAACAGCUUCAAGUGGAAGUGUUGACUGGUCACGGUAGCAGAUUGCAUCAGCAACAACACCAACACCAUGGUGUCUGCAACAGCAAUGUGCAUGCACCCACAGUAAGCCUAAGCCUGCACAGCCCCACAAGAUCUCUUUGUUCACUGUUAUACUACUGUGAACAUGACCAGGAAGUUGUCUAAAGGAGAGGAGUGUAUGUGUGUGGUAAACAGUGAUUUGUCAUUGUUGUCUUGCCUAUCAGAACACUAGGAGGAGGAGGACCUCAUGCUGACCUAUUUCAAACUUUGCUACUUCACAAACAAGGGAUGUUAAGACACUUAUCUACAAUGCAUCAAAAGUAGUAACAAACAUCCAUGAAGUUGUGUGUGUACGAAGGUUAUGAAUUGGGAUGGAAGAGUUCAAGCAGUUUCCAUGUGAUGAGUGUGGGGAAGUGUUGACAAGCAGCAGCAGGCAUGUCCAGCACUCGCUGUCUCACCGAGGAGUGACAGUGUUUUGCUGCGAGCAAUGUGAAGAAGUGUUCCUCAGUGAGAGCCAGCUGGACCAACACCUAGAGCUUCAUCCCAACACUACCAAAAAAUUUAAGUGUGAGGUCUGUGGAAAGUGUUCUGCAAAAAAGGGUGACCAUAGGGCACACAUACUGUCGCACUAUGGAGUGAAGGAGUUUGUGUGUCAGGAGUGUGGAAAGGCAUUUGGCACAAGGAAGGGUCUUGUCCAACACAGUAAGAUCCAUUUGGAUGUCAAGGAGUUUCAGUGUGAGGUGUGUGGGGAUGAGUUCCGGUGGAGGGGUCACCUCACAUCACACAUGAAACUUCAUAAUAGGAAGAGCAAGUACAAGUGUGACAAGUGUGGGAAAAAUUUCUACCGCAAGUCCCAGUUGGCCCAUCAUACCAUGAUUUGUGUCAACAGAGUGGAACAAAACAGACACAUGUGUGAUGAAUGUGGUGCAUCAUACACAUCAAGGAGUCAUCUUGAGGAGCAUAUGAAGGGUCACAUCAAGGCACAGAUGCAUAUGUGUGAGGAGUGUGACAAAGUGUUCACCUACAAGAGUCACCUCACCUUGCACAUCAACACUCACCACCAAGGGAUGGGCAGGCACUCAUGCCCUGAGUGUGGCCAAGUGUUUGGCAAAAAGAGUCAUCUCACCGCACACAUGAACAUUCACUACCACUCUGACCCUGACGAACCUGAACCAACCUAUGUUCUGUGCUGAUGAGGACAGGUAAUUAUUAUGGAGUCACAGACAGCAGCAAACCACCACAAGGACAGGCAAUGGUUGCAACAUGUCCUGCAGGUAUCAAGGGCAGCCAUGCACACUCCGUAAAUCAGGAGCGCAUCAUAUCACCUGUCUGCUGACUCCUCCUGAGAGGGACCAACAUUCACAGAAGUUCCCGACACUUUACAAGCUAGUGCUGGACCCAUAAGGUUGGUCAGUAAAUGGGUACCUGGAGAAAAGUGUGGUAACCUAGAUCUCACACCUGCCUUGUGUCCCAGGGUGAUGGGUUCCCACCCAGCACAGGCUCAGGACCAAUGAGGCACUUGAGGCCAGUGGCAGCUAUAUCGUAUGCACCUAAUGUCACCUUACCUUACCAUGGAGUGGUGUUCUGGCUUUGCCAAAGAGGAGUAACCCAGGGCCAGGUCCAGGAUACAUGAACUUGUAGUUCACUUCAGGUCCAGUCGAGAUAGAUGCACACUCUGCUUGCUGUCUUACUGUUCCCCCCAUUGGUCAGGCAGCAAGAAGUGGCUUGGCAUAUGUAAACAAUUCACAUAAAAAUUGUGGUGAGGCUGUAAUGAGGUGCAGCAGUCAACACAGUCCUAUGUGCAUCAGCUGAGCACACAACUUGGAGCUUUCAGUUGAGAUGAGGGAAGUUUCUUGCAACAUUGACUUGUAAAAUUCCAUAAUUACUAAUAGUCUGUACAAGUUUUCAUUAACACCAUUUUCUUAUUUAUUAAUGGGUGCCCAGGGGUUUCAUACUCUCAGGGGUUUUGUGUCCCUGCCCAUGGCUAGCAGUCAAUCCAACCCCUUGCCUGGGUUGAUUGAAAAGGGGCCCACAAUCCCUCCCUGUAAAACUGUAACCAAGCUGAAAACAUGAUAGAAAGUACUGUUGGGGUCAAUGCUCCCUCCGCAAUCUUGAUCCGGUUCUGCUGGAGGGCUUGACCAGGAGACCUAAAGUCCAAAGGGCUUUGCCUCCUCGUGCAGUGCCUUGAGAGCCAUCACCAGAUCCUUCAGCAACUCCGCAAGAACUACUGCAUCACUGGCAAAAACAAGGUCAGUGCCUUGGCUUUGCCAUGCCCCACAACUAUACCUAUUGCCCAGUCCAUACUAGUGUUGAAGAGUGGUAGGGUAAGGACACAGCCUUGCCUCACCCACAUUGACAGGAAAGAAGCUACCCCCCCCCCCCCCCCACCACCACCACCCACCUCAAUUCAUAGUCCUUUCAAUCCCUGAGUACAGACCAAUCAAUCAACCAAGGCUCCUUGCAGGAAUCCCACGGAGUCACGGGAGAUGUCAGAGUUCCUCAUGAUGCACUGAAUCAAACACUUUCUAGGGAUCGACAUAGGCUGCAAGCAUCCCCUGUCAAAACACAUCAGCGCUCCACGUAUACACAAAGCACUACGAUAGUCAAUUGUUGCCUUCCCAGGUAUGAAUCCAGACUGCUCAGGUCUCUGCAGCUUCAGCAGCUGGUUAUAAAUCUGUAUCAGCAAUAGAUAGGCAAGCACCUUGCCUGGCACACUGUGCAGCGUAAUACCACAGUACAGUAGUUGUUGCAGUCCUGGCGGUCCCCUUUCCCUUUCCAGAUAGGGACGACCAACCCCCUCUUCAAGAUUACCAUAUGGCAGUCAAGACUGCAUGCAACCUGUAGAUCAUGGCCUCACCUCCAAAUUUGAGUGGCUACAGGCAGAUUUUAUAGAUACCAGGUGCCUUUCUACCCCUCAACUUUGCCACAGUCUCUCUGUCCUUGUCAAGAGAGAGUGGGCUUUUGUCUAUGGGUGUAUCACCAUCUGCUAUCUGCAACCCAGCAGCUGGAAGCUGCCCACUAGGAGGGUCUGCUAUAUAUGACUGCUCAAGUACUCAGCCCAACGAGCCCUCUGCCCAUCCAUGUCCGACAUGAGACAGCCAUCUGCUGUUUGGACGGCACUCACCUGAGAGGGAGGCCUGGAGCAAAGCUUCUUCAGGGCUCGGGAAGCAGGUUGGUGGUCAUUUGCAUCGAGAUGGACCUUGAUUUCUUCAGCAAGACUCCUGACAUACCUCUCCUAGUCUCCACAGGAGAGCUCUAGUCCUAUGCAACAGAGCCUUAUAUUGGUACCGAUUCCCAGCAAGCCUGGCAGCUCGAUAUUCUCCAGUGUCUCAUCUGAGGCAAAACCACUCCUUGAUCUUGGGCCAGAAGCCAACCCUGCUCAUGGUUAUUUCUGUAAGAGCCAACCCCAAGUGGAGGAGGUCAAAAGGACACCCACAGUGUUUAUGGCUUGAGUUAGUCAAUAGACCCUACCAUGAGGUACAGUACUGUCUCCAGGAUUGCGAGUUUCAAGUUUGCGAUUCACCAAGUUUGCGAUAGGGACCCCCAAAAAUAUAUUUUUAUUGAAAACUGAAAUUGCGAUAUGACCCGAAAGGAAAAGGAAAAGGCUGCUAAAGCUUUUUUUUUUUUCACACUUUGUUGUGGUCCUUGACUCCUGUUCUCGCUCUUACCCGCCCCCUGGGCCUUUCCGUUGGCUGCGGGAAGCAUGGUGAGUGGGAUUCGGGCAGCCAGGCGCAUGUGUGCAAGCAGCCCUGACCGUGCGGUGGGCCUGAGCAGCUGACGGGCGGCUGAUGAUGGCCAUGAUGAUGAUGAGUGUCGGCGGCAUUGGCGCCACCCAAACGGCAUUUUCACUGGGGCCCGCGUGUGUGUGGCUGUGCCCGUUGUGGGCCCAGGUUCCUCAGUUUGCCAGUUCUCACUUUCCACAUGUUGCUUGGGACCCCUUUCCUUUCUUCCAUCUCUUUUUCAAACAGAAGAGAUGGAAGAAAAUAAAGGGGUCCUGUGCAACAUGUGGAAAACAAGAAUCAGCAAAUUGAGAAGCCCAUACCCACAACAAACACAGCCACACACACACACACAGGCCCCAACAUAAACACCGUUCAGGUGGCGCCGAUGCAAAGGCCAUGCCGCCGACACUCAUCACCACCAUCAGCUGCACGGGCCGUCUGCACACAUGCGCAAGAUGUCGACGUUUUUCAAUUUUCCCCAUAAGAAUAAUGGUUCAAAGUUUGCAAUUUCAACGUUUGCGACCCGCAACGUUGACCUAUUUAUCGCAAACUUGGAGACAGUACUGUCCUUGGGAUGGGAAGGGGGCCUGCAUAGAGACUUGCCCGAAGGAAUCCUAUGUUUGGCGUCGUAGGGUGGACAAGGCGACACACCCUCUGGCAUGUGUCCUCAUUCACUAUCAUCCACACAGCUCCAGUUGUGAUUGUUUUAAUUAUUAGAUAUACAUACUAGAAAAGACCAAUUGUACAUUUUAAAUUCCAGAUUCCUACUGUAGCUUUUCUCCAGCUCAUUCCUGUCAUCAACAAUUUCCUAGUUUAAGUAGUCACAAGAAUUGCACUAGUUGUUGCCAUGUGGUAGUGUAGUGUGUGUGUGUAUAUAUAUAUAUAUAUAUAUAUAUAUAUAUAUAUAUAUAUAUAUAUAUAUAUAUAUAUAUAUAUAUAUAUAUAUAUAUAUAUAUAUAUAUAUAAUCAGGUAUGUCACCAACUGACUAUCCUGUAGUAAAACCAGAGGCAAUUCGCAGAUUGGGGGGAGGUAAGCCAAGGUCUUUAACCCCUUACUGUACUGUCACUUUUUCAUAUUUUCACCCACGUGGUGUCCAAUCUCAAUUGUUGCCCUUGCCACUUUUUCAGUGGUUUAUUAAAACUAAAGAAAUUAUUGUCUUAUUUGGAGAUGUAUUCUUUUUACUUUAUUUAUUACAUAUAAUUUUUGAUGUUUUGCCCAUCCAUCCAAGACCUGUGAUGAAAGCCAGAUAGUGACAAAGCAUUGCACGGUAAAGCCAUAAAAUAUGUGCCACGAUUUCUAAUUGCUGUAUAAACAUUUUAAGAAUUUAGUUUACUGCUCCUUAAAAAUUCAGAAUAGAAUUUACAAUAAAAUUGUAUUAAUAUGUAUUCUUUUUGUCUUAAAACACGUGUCAGGAGGCGAACAGUUAUUUUCAAGACUUUUCAAAUGCACAUUCCAGACAUUUUUUGCCUCUCCGUGCCCAAGCUGCCAGCUUCUUCUGGUUUCUAUAGCAAUUCAUGUAUUGGUGGACUACUGAUGUGAGUUUUGACAGAUGCUUGCAGCCUUUAUUGAUCUCAAGGCCUUGGAUUCAGUGCAUCGUGAUACACUGGGAUCUCCUGUGACUAUAGUCUGGCUCUGCUAAAUGUGUGGUUCAAGGUGCCAUGUGAGGAAUAAUCCAAGAGUACAGCAUUGCCACAUUUUUAACCUCACGUUGGUUGUCUCUCUCUCUCGUGGCGUUACCGCCAUGAGGAUUUGAAUGUAUUUUUUUCUUACUUAUGUCAGCUUAUUUUAACGUACAUUUCUUCAUAAUACAAUCUAAAUAUAAUUGUGAAACUUCUAACACAUCCCAAAACGUAAGGGAAACUCAAUAAUAAGUAUAGCAUUAUUUUUAGCACCACUGUAAAAUAUGUAUGCCACAUUUCUUUAUAUGCUUAUAAAAUAUCUUAUCCAUAAUAAGUUAACUGUUCUUUUAUAUGUUAUAAUACUAAGAUUAAAUGUGUAUGCAUACUUGCUGAUCAUAUUUGCCAGGGUUUUACUUAUCUUAUAACAUUUCUAUGUCACGGCUAGGAGACACGCGGCAACGCUGUACAAGGGGAUCCACUACGCUGAACCCACCCGCCCACAACCGCACGUUUAGUUGAGCCAGACUAUAGGAUUCCUGGCCUGUUCACAGUAGGGCAUUUAGACGUCUGUUAACCCCUUCACUCCAGGCUCUCGCUUACAGUCUCUGUAUGAUACACGGGCUGCCUGUGCAUGGAAAAUCUGUAUGUAGAAACUAUAGUAAAAUCAAUAUUUUUAUAUUUAAAAAUCAUUCAUGGAUAUUGUAUAUCAUAAGAACUUAUUGAUUUUUCUACAUUUUUACUGGUGUGUACAUUUAUUAUUAUCUAAUAUAAAUAUGAAGAGAAUAAGAAUAUAAAUUAUUACUGCCAAGAUUCUUCUUUAAGGAUAAAUGGCUUUCAAAACUAAAUUUGUACUUUAUUACAUAGUACAUAAUUUCUCUUCUCACAAAAAGAUAUAAAUAAUCUAUAAUAAUGUACACCUGUUCCCCAGUAUUUUCCCCAAUUGCACAAAGGCGGCUGCUAAGGAACUUUUGCAGCUCCACUACAAACAUUCCUGGUCUGCCCGUGGCCGAUUCAUCCUCUCCUAAGGAAAGGAUAAUGCAUACAUACAUGCAUUAAUAACAUCUCAUAUAGCAUCAUUCAUCAGCUAUACAUACUAUGAACUGUACAGUAAUUUACAUAAACUUCUUACAAACUGUAGUCAUUAGUCUCCCUUUCCUGUAGGGCACUCCUGUUAUUUUCUUUUUUAACUUUGGGUACUUAAGCAUAUCAUUAACAUGUGAAUUAUUUACCAUAGGGAUGGCACCCAAGUCUUAGGUGUGCAUUAUCAUGCUCUGGCAACCUGUUGUCACAUGGUGUGUUUUGAUUUCAUGGAUAAUAUAUGAUUGUCUACACGUAGGAAAUAGGUGUCCAUCAUUAAUAGGCAGGGAACAAUGUUGACUUUGAGUUUCAAAUAAUUAAUAAUUUGCAGAAAGCUGUUUUGUUAUAUUGUGCUUUGUGGAGGGCAGCACCUAAGUUAAUCAAUAAAUAUAUAAUCAGCAGUGGUGGGCACCGCUAACCAAAAAGUUAGCUUCGCUAUCUGGUACAUAAUUCACUAACUAAAAAGUUAGCUUCACUUACGCUAAACUGAUAAAGAAAUUAGUGUAAGCUAAUGCCAACCGCUGACUUUUUAUAUGGAUUUAGCUUUGGUUUAGUAUUUUGGCUCUGAAACUCUUCACUCUGGCGACACCAACGUCGACGUUCGACGGCGUCACCGUAUGGAAAGGGUUUGUCCUCUUCUAAACCUCUUAAUCCUCUUCUAAACCUCUUAAGAGGAAAUGGAAGAGGAUUAAGAGAAAUUUUGAGGAGAAUUAAGAGGUUUAGAAGAGGUUUAAUCCCCUUCCAUUUCCUCUUGACCCUUUCCAUACUGUGACGCCGACGUCUGCGUCACGGAUGGAAGGGUUAAAAACAGACCUAGUGACCUGAAAUUUCACAGCUUAGACAAGUUUCCCUAAUUAUUGUCCAAUUACCCUGCUUUAAGGCGUAAUUUUCCGAAAAGUGGAAGCCCAGGAAUUAUUGCGCCAUGUGGCUAAACUGGUGCUGUGUCUUCCCACAACGAACAAGAACAAAUCUCUAUGAAUUUUAGCGGACUUAAGUCAGAGGAGGAGGAACUACAUUUAGCGGAAGCUAAUUGGUCCGCUAACUGUUUUCAAAGUUAGCGAAAAUGCUAAUCAGCUAAAGAAAAAGUUAGCUUCCCUAAUUAGCGGAACUGUGCCCACCACUGAUAAUAUAAUCAGCAACCCUAUAAAACAACAAAACAGCUCUAUGCAACAUUACUUAUUUGAAACAAAAUCAGCUAUAACUGACAGUAUUCAUCAAUGUUCCCUGCGUAUUAUUAAUUAAUACCUAUUUCCUAUGUGUAGGCUAUCAUAUAUUAUCCACAAAAUUGGAUACACUGUGUGACAGGAAGUUGCCAGAACAUGACAUUGCACACCUCAGACUUUGGCACCACAUCUAUAGUGUCUUUAUCAAACUAGUAACACUCCUCAUUUGGACACUGGUGGCUGUAUCAAAGUGGACAGGUUAAGGAACUCUGUACAAUUCUAAGGGAUGCAUGUUCUACCUGCAGAUAUACAGCAGGAGUAUUCCUGUAUCUCCCAACCAAAUGUUGAUUAUUUUUU